AGUGAGUGAGGAUUUGGUGGCGCGGGAGCGGCGGGGGCGGGAGGUUUGAGAAAACAAAUUUUGUAUAACAAAUAUAUUGCAAAGUGCAAUACGGAUUGUCAAUAUGCACUCAAAGAUUCACAACGUGCAGCAAUCAACAGCUUAAUUCGCCCAUCGCCGUCGGCGUCCUCUCUUUUUCUAUUCCCCGAUGAAGACUAAUGAUGACGAGGCUUUUGACUGGAUUGGGAUCAAGGAAUGGACCGGAUACAUCAAGCGACAAGAUGCUAUGUUGGAACUCACUGAUUCGCCGUGCAUCGUCUCGGUACAACAUGUUGCGACAGAAGAUGGGUUUUCCUACCACGAGAGAGCCUCCGCCACCGCCGUCGCCUCUCUGUCUGCCACCUUGUUUGUCCAUCUGCCGCCGGGACCUGUCAUGGACUCCGCUCGUGCCAUGUCUCCCCGGGCGACCACCCGACAGGCCAGGCGUGUGGUCUGUCCGACGCGGACAGGGCGGGUUACAUCAUUCACUCGUCCCGGACCGCCGCGAUCAGCCGGUGGACUCACAUCGACACCCGCUCCUGUGUUUAUCGAGGCCUUGGAGACGCGGCGCGGUAGCAAUCCGGUAACACUCUUUUUUACCGUGUUCGAUCACGCCCGGCGAUCGUGGUGUGCGAACUCUGGGCUGAUGAAGGGACACGAGGUCAAUAGGGGAGCGCGACUGCCCCGGCCUCCGCGGUGGUGCAGGGUGGCGUGCGGAUGCCGAUACCAAACGGGCGAGCUUGCAUAGCGCGCUUGUUAAUGCCGGUGCCGAUGUUUUGCGGAAAUCUGGAUAGCGUCACCGAAUUAAAUUCAACUGUUAAUCCGGCUGGUAGUUUGAUUGGCCAAAGGCUGUGGUUUUUUUACGGCAGCGUUUCGAGUUGUUUGCCUAACUUGAUGCACUGGGCAGAGCUGGUAGCGCUUUGCGAAUUCCCGAAAUUCAGAGCCAGCUGAGGACCACUGUUAGUAUAAACGUGGCUCGGUGGUUACGUGUUGUGUUUUCGGUCGAUACUCGGACCAGAAACAUCGUCGCGUCUGGCCAGCAUCAUGGCAAUGACCUUGCAAGGUUCGGGCGUGCUUAUUCAGCUUUCAAAUAUUGGCAUUGUUUGCAAAUUCCUCGAACGGCUGACGCGCAUCGCGACAGCGAUACUUUGAGGCUCAUCCACUGAACGUUUGUAGUUUGGACGUUUGCUAAAUCAAUUUUCCAAAACUAUCGCAUAGCUGGAUAGCUCAACACCUGUCAUCGAUUUCUUUGGUGCUUUGAAAGCAUAUUUACCUACCAUUGGAGACCUAGCUGAAGUUGGCGUCAGUACCUAUUAGCGCGAAUCAAAAAUGUUAAUUAUGUAACUAUGUUGCUAGCGGCUGAACUUUGGCCGUACAUAUGCCACCCAGGGGCCUGUGGUCAUUUUGGGAACUGCCAGGGUUUGACAAGCGCUCACAUCAGUCAAGCUAUCCCAAAUCUGUCAUUCGUAUAACCUUUCUCGAUAGGUACGUGCUGCCGCCAUUUUUUAAUACAUAUGUCUUUUAUGAACGCUGCUCGACUGAUAGCUUUGACGUUUGCUUUCAGCCAUGACUGUUCGUUUUGUGCCAAAAAUUAGACUGCAACAGCUAAACACUUGUUAAAAGAGUAGCAAAUUAACGUCUAAUGGUUUUUCUACCCGAUGCUAUCCAAACACACGCGCACUCCUCCCUAAAACAUAGCACACUGCUGCUAAGCUCGCACUUCUCUGGCGCCUUCUAAUCGUCGCUGACCCCCUAGCCGACCCCGGCUCCCCUCUCAGCCCGCGCUCUGCCCACUACUCGCUACCCUGUCCCAUUCCCCUAAUUAGCUGUGAAAACUGGCCGCGUCUCCCGUCACCACCCGUCACCACCUCGUAACGUCGACCAUUGUGGCGGCCGUGACGAUAACCGGCGCGGUGUUUGCGCGUCAUGUGACACCGAGCAAUGUCGGCAGUCGGUACUGUAACGUCGUCCGUUACGUCACGCUCGCUAUAUUGCUUUUUGUGGAGAGAGGGGUGAGCUGAGCUUCCGCUAGGUCAGGCGUAAGAGCUUACUGAGGGGAAUUGUUAUGUAGUAGUUAUGCUGCUGUAAUCUGCCUAUUUAUAUGUCACAAGAUGUUUGGCUUUAAUGCACAGGAAAGCACCCGAUAUGUAUCUGCCGUUAUUGUAUCGUAGGAUUAUCGAGCGAGCGACAGUUGCGGAUAUGCCGUGCGGGAUAAUGUGCAAUGGCUGUCUUACGCAGAUUGCAGUCGAUGUGUGUUAAUUAUUUCCCGAACUUGCCGUCCGCACACCGUCAAAAAAGCGUUCUCUGUGUGUAGACCGUCCGUGUGAUGUUUUUCGACCCGACUGAGCUAAGGGCUGGUUCGAUUCCGCCCGGUCUCGACUUUUCGAUCCGACCGGGCACGGUCUAUGCUCGGCUCUGUCGCAUCUGCUCAUUGUAUGUAUAACGAUCGCUGCGCCGUUUCAUAGUCAGAUUUGAAACGAACUUCUCUCGUGAGCGAUGUUUGCGGUCGACGUGAGGCGCAGCCCCUCAUGAUAAGCUAUAGGUACUACGCUGCAGCCAGUCAUGUGCAAGCAGUUUGAGGCGGCCCAGAAGUGUCGCUGUGUGCUGUAUCUACAUAUUAUAUAUCUGACAGUGCGUGUAAACUGUGCUCUCUCGUCGUUUUGGAGGCUGCCGGGCGGUGACGGCUAUUCGCCCGCUAAGUGUUGACGUGAGCUUUCGCCGGCGUCUGAGUUUUGACGAGAGCUGCGCAACACAAUGUGUUGUCUAUGAGCAACUAGUCUUAUUUUGCAGACUAUUCGUGAUAUAUCUAGCCAGGCGAGCAUUCCGAAGGGUGUCGAGAAGAGAUCGCUCGCCCUGCCGCGGCGCCGGCGUCGGCGUCGACAGAUAUGUUGGCUUAUUUUUUACUUUAGAGCCGUGCAGCAAUCACUGGCAAUUGUAAAGCUCGGUGUGAGGUUUCUUUCAAUAUUGAUCCUGCUCGCUGGCCGCUGUUUCUGCCGUGUAACUGUGUGUGAUGGAAUUGUGACAUACGAAAACAAAGUCGUGUAGGCAAUAUGUGAGGCGUGGAAAGCGACUUGCGCCAAUGUAAAAUGAAUGUGUCAAUAAAUAUAGGGCUAUUAUGAGGUAGUAUGUUUAGACUGUUUAGAAGAAAAUAAACGAUACAGUUAAUGUU
rnacentral:lncRNA from 1 species